GUCUNGAUUCUGGGCGUAAGCGUGCGUAGGUGGUCGUUUAAGUCCGUUGUGAAAGCCCUGGGCUCAACCUGGGAACUGCAGUGGAUACUGGACGACUAGAGUGUGGUAGAGGGUAGCGGAAUUCCUGGUGUAGCAGUGAAAUGCGUAGAGAUCAGGAGGAACAUCCAUGGCGAAGGCAGCUACCUGGACCAACACUGACACUGAGGCACGAAAGCGUGGGGAGCAAACAGGAUUAGAUACCCUGGUAGUCCACGCCCUAAACGAUGCGAACUGGAUGUUGGGUGCAAUUUGGCACGCAGUAUCGAAGCUAACGCGUUAAGUUCGCCGCCUGGGGAGUACGGUCGCAAGACUGAAACUCAAAGGAAUUGACGGGGGCCCGCACAAGCGGUGGAGUAUGUGGUUUAAUUCGAUGCAACGCGAAGAACCUUACCUGGCCUUGACAUGUCGAGAACUUUCCAGAGAUGGAUCGGUGCCUUCGGGAACUCGAACACAGGUGCUGCAUGGCUGUCGUCANCUCGUGUCGUGAGAUGUUGGGUUAAGUCCCGCAACGAGCGCAACCCUUGUCCUUANUUGCCAGCACGUNAUGGUGGGAACUCUAANGANACCGCCGNUGACNAACCGGANGAANGUGGGGAUGACNUCAANUCNUCCNUNGCCCUUACNGCCAGGGCUACCCNCNUACUNCAUGNU
rnacentral:rRNA from 1 species